UGGACCAAUUCUGUGGAAGUAAAUUCCAUUGAUAGUGUUGGAGGAUCAGCUGGUUUUGAGUAAGCACUCAGUAUUGUCCACAGUAGUUAUUAACAAAGUGUACCAUAGUAUUGUGCCACACUACUAGUGUUAUGGUAAUUGUUGUAUACCACGUACAUGGAGAGAGUCUCUUCUUUUUGUCCAUUUUCUUCAAAAAUUUUAUUGUACAUGUAUUUUUUCUGACUCAGAAAAAUUUUCAACAAAGUGCAGAGCCACUUGGGGAAACCCUAGUCAAUGAAUCACCUUUUACUAAAAUAUGCAACUUAUUUCAAUGUUUUUGCUGAACAUAUUG